UGCUGCUGCUGCUGCUGCUGCUGCUGCUGCUGCUGCUGCUGCAGCAGCAGCUUCUAUGCUGCAGCAGCAGCAGCAGCAGCAGCAGCAGCAGCAGCA
rnacentral:pre_miRNA from 1 species